GAAGCAUUCACCCAAUUAAAUACUUAGGAAAACACAAAAUUAAACAAAAAAUCAUGAAGAAGUAUAUUGCCAUUCCCAUUCUUUGCACUCUUCUUUGGCUAACUUUACUUUCUCCAUCCAAAGGGGAUCCCAAGUUUUGCCCAACAACAAUGCAAAUAGUAGGAUCAUGUGGUCCCAAUGGAACCUUUGAAUGUUUUGAAGCCAUUAAUGCGGAGUAUGGAGCUUCCGCAAUGGCACAAAGGUAUUCUUGUAAAGAUUUAUCUGAUAACGAAUCUGUGUCAGUGUUAUAUUGUUUGUCAAUAAUUGUAAUUCUCUUUGAACCUCAUUUACGACUUGCCAUAAUAAAAUAAGUAGUAAAAUUUAAAAA